UUGUGUGGAUUAUCGAGUUCUCAACAAAGCUACCAUACCAGACAAAUACCCCUUUCUACUUAUACAAGAAUUGUUUGAUGAGCUUUAUGGUGUUACAUAUUUCCCCAAAAUUGACUUAACAUCGGGCUAUCAUCAUAUUCGAGUCUCAAAGCUAGACAUCCACAAGACAACUUUCCUUACAGUGGCCACUACGAAUUUUUGGUCAUGCCAUUUGGGCUCACCAAUGCUUCGACCACCUUCAAUCCACCAUGAA
rnacentral:misc_RNA from 1 species